UACGAAGGGGGCUAGCGUUGCUCGGAAUGACUGGGCGUAAAGGGCGCGUAGGCGGUGCCACAAGUCACCUGUGAAAUCUCCGGGCUUAACUCGGAGCCUGCAGGCGAAACUGUGGUGCUGGAGUGUGGGAGAGGUGCGUGGAAUUCCCGGUGUAGCGGUGAAAUGCGUAGAUAUCAGGAGGAACACCUGUGGCGAAAGCGGCUCACUGGACCACAACUGACGCUGAGGCGCGAAAGCUAGGGGAGCAAACAGG
rnacentral:rRNA from 1 species